AGAUAACAUCAUGAGAAUGGAAAACUAUGUGGAUAUAUUGAAGCAACACCUCAAGACAUCAGUCAGGAAGUUUAAGAUUGGUCGCAAACGCCAAGCAUACUUCAAAAGUUGUGGCAAAAUGGCUUAAGGACAACAAAGUCAAUGUAUUGGAGUGGCCAUCACAAAGCCCUGACCUCAAUCCCAUAGAGAAUUUGUAGGCAGUUCUGAAAAGGUGUGUGUGAGCAAGGAGGCCUACAAACCUGACUCAAUUACACCAGCUCUGUCAGGAGGAAUGUUAUUGUGGGAAGUUUGUGGAAGGCUACCCGAAAGGUUUGACCCAAGUUAAACAAUUUAAAGGCAAUGCUACCAAAUACUAAUUGAGUGUAUGUUAAUUUAUGACCCACUGGAAUAAAUCAUUUUCUCUAAUAUUAUUCUGACAUUUCACAUUCUUAAAAUAAAGUGGUGAUCCUAACUGACCUAAGAGAGGGAAUAUUUGCUAGGAUGAAAUGUCAGGAAUUGUGAAAAACUGAGUUUAAAUGUAUUUGGCUAAGGUGCAUGUAAACUUCCCACUUAAACUGUACAUGUAAUAAUGUCUGACUAGUAUGGGACUUGAUAGACUACAAUAAGCACAUUAGAAGACAGCUUUAUUUCAUUUGUAGACUUUUACAAGGUUCAAUAUGGAAUAUUCCUGUAAAAUAUGUGAUCACAUAUUUUGGUAUUAAAGUUUGAAAAGAUCAGAAAGAACCAAUUAAAAUGUAUCCCCUAUUGUAGAGAAAAUUGGAAAAAUAUUUUUCCAAAAUACUUUUGCCAACAUCUGCUAAACACGUGUAUGUGACAAUUACAUUUGAUUUGAUUUUGAUUUAGCUAGCUUUAGCCCACCAUUUAGCUAGCUAGUUAACGUUCUCACCAGUCGUGUAGUCAGACUUGCUAGCUAACAUUAGUCCAGCACCAGGGCAAGGAUAGUUGGUUAGCUAGAAUGUCACCACUUACAAAAGUCUGACUACACGAACGGUGAGCUAAUGUUAACAAGCUAGCUAAAUAUCACCAGGUUACCUAGCUAGUUAGACACCUUGGUUGACUAGUUAUCUACAUCAGCUAAAGUUGGCUAGCUAGCUCACAAAGGACUUGCGGGCUCAAUGUUUCCCCAUACAUAACACAAACGUUUUUGUUCCAUGAGUGCAUCUGUACAUGACGAAUCAAAUGACCUGUGAAGUCAGUUAUACAUAUCAGCAGGGAUAUAAAUUAAGCUAGCCCGAGGCUAGAACUUUUCUGACACAGCAGUAAAAUACUUAGUAGAACAUGUGCCAAACUAGCCUAACACAGCAGUGAAAUGUUGCCUUUACAAACAUCACAUGCCACAGAUUUAGGACCUGAAUGUAGAAAUCAUGGUCGGCUGGCCGGUGCCCAAAAUCCUUAUGUUACAUCCCUGCAUGUCAGUCACUUCACAGCUAACGGUUUAAACUUUCCUCUUGAGAAUUAGAAUCAGAAGUACAGUUGUAUAUGUAACGGAUGUGAAACGGCUAGCUUAGUUAGCUGUGGUGCACGCUAAAUAGCGUUUCAAUCGGUGACGUCACUUUCUCUGAGACCCUGAAGUAGUGGUUCCCCUUGCUCUUUUCUUUUUUUAUCUUACAGAUGGGCCUACCCGAAACCCAGUGACAACACUCGGGUCUGCAGCUGCCAUUUUUCGGUGGGAAAGAAAAAGGGCCCUAUAUUUACCAGAAAAGGAAGCUCAUCCACCAUGGCAGAAGUGGAAGAUCCAGACUGAUGAUUGGGAAACAAAAACAAACAAUGAGAACAUCCUUUGGACCAUCUGAUGCAUGGACAUCCUGUGCCGGGGUGAUCUGAGCAUGAGCGUCCAGUUGUGGAGACUACAGCACAUCGAGCCUGUGGACAGAUAGACAGGAGGCUUGACCUGCGGAACAUCAGGCGCACCCCACGAGAAGCAGUGCACGAUCAACACCACACUCAGCAAGGAGAUCUGCUGGAAGUGAUGUACUCUUUCAUUCUGGGGGUACUGACAGGAGGAGCAAUAUGAGUCUGCUAGAGGCUGUCAUGCUCGAUGGGGUGUGUGAUGGAAGCUUUGGGGUUCCACACAACGAAGAAGCAGGUGUCCAUUCCAGGGAUGUGGAGCUGACCUUGAACCUGGUGCCAGUAAGGAUGGUCUUCACGGAUAAAAUCCUUUGACUUCACUGCCUCUUCAAUGGUAAGGUCCCUUGCACCAUAGGUACACUUGACCUCCAUCACUGCUGUGGAGUUCACCAGACCAUCUGGUGGGGCACCCAGGAUCCCAGAUCCUGUGACCCAAAGCCCUGAAUCCUGCACAUGCAUCCCUAAAGCCAUGUUGAAUGCCUUGAUGCCCUCCUUUUUGUUAUCUGAGCCCCACAUUACAGACAAAACCCCUUCCAAAGACUGAGACUUUUUAGCAGCGAUGGAGUAACGCUCUUGGCACUAACCACAGAUUCAUACUUGCUGGCCGUCGACCUCCUCCUCAUUGUGUGCCAGUUGCGGUUGGUGCGCUGUCCAACUGUUGCCUGCCGUAUAGCCUCCUACUGCUCCACUGAGAGCGCCAUGACAGCCAGGAUGCCUGCAUGCCCCAGGUGCUCUUGAACAAUGUCUGGUACAGAAAGGGAUAACAAGGAGGGUAGCAGUUGUUCUGGCUCAGGUUCAAUGAGAUAUGCCAUUCCACUGAACCUGCCCCAGAGACGGUUCCUUAGCCACUGAAGAUCCUCCUCUGUGGGCUCUCAGGACAGAGGGUUGUAGUCUUUGGCCAGGUACAGGUCCUCCAUUGACGGCACCUGGUUGGGCACGGCUGGCUUCCUCCACUCGCAUUCCACAUCCAUAUGGCCGAUAUUGUGAACCGCCAAAAUAGCUGCAUGGCUACCUGUAUGAGUUCCACGGAGGCAUUCUCAUGUGGUAGAGAGAAUCCCCUGGUCACCUAUAGAGACCUGGCAAGGGGAAGGAUGUGCCACAUGCCUUUCAAUGUGUGACUUUGAACACAUUACCGUUAAUUGGUAAGAAAUGUGCUAUAUAAAUUAAGUUUGAUUUGAUUGAUUACAUUACAGAUGUAGAAUAUUGAAUAAACUGUCAUUUUCAAGAGAACAAGUGCAGUUUUUCCAUAAAUGUAUAAUUGGUAACUUUGUCACGGCUUCAAUAAGUAGUGAGUGCAGGAGUCAGGCGCAGAGAGCAGGGUAGUUCAAAAGAUGUGGAUCUUUAAUAUUCCAACAAAACCAGAGAGACGGUCACGCCACACACACAAGGGCGCGUAAAGUCCCAGUCCAAACAAACAGGACGAAACUGAUCGGAAAAAACCACAGGAAUAAUCAAACACCAUAAACAGAAAAACAAGCCCGCACAAAAGCCGGCGGGCCUACUGGGUUUAAAUAGCCCACAAUCAAAACCUAAACACGAAACAGGUGCAACAAAUCAGACACAACUAAAUGAAACAGAAAAGGGGAUCGGUGGCAGCUAGUAGGCCGGCGACGACGACCGCCGAGCGCCGCCCGAACAGUAAGAGGCACCAUCUUCGGCGGGAUUCGUGACAAACUUGGGAUUUUAACACUUGACUUAUCAAACAUAUAGUGGGAAGGAUUCUAUAAAGCAAGAUUGUGUGA